rnacentral:misc_RNA from 1 species
GAUGAAGAACGCAGCGAAAUGCGAUAAGUAAUGUGAAUUGCAGAAUUCAGUGAAUCAUCGAAUCUUUGAACGCACAUUGCGCCCGCCAGUAUUCUGGUGGGCAUGCCUGUCUGAGCGUCAUUUCAACCCUCAUGCCCCUAGGGCGUGGUGUUGGGGAUCGGCCAAAGCCCGCGAGGGACGGCCGGCCCCUAAAUCUAGUGGCGGACCCGUCGUGGCCUCCUCUGCGAAGUAGUGAUAUUCCGCAUCGGAGAGCGACGAGCCCCUGCCGUUAAACCCCCAACUUUCCAAGGUUGACCUCAGAUCAGGUAGGAAUACCCGCUGAACUUAAGCAUAUCAAUAAGCGGGGA